rnacentral:misc_RNA from 1 species
GAUGAAGAACGUAGUGAAAUGUGAUAAUUAAUGUGAAUUGCAGAAUUCAGUGAAUCAUCGAAUCUUUGAACGCACAUUGCGCCCCUUGGUAUUCCGAGGGGCAUGCCUGUUCGAGCGUCAUUAUAACCCCUCAAGCUCAGCUUGGUGUUGGGGCCUGCUGCACUGGCAGCCCUUAAAAUCAGUGGCGGCGCCAUCUGGCUCUAAGCGUAGUAAUUCUUCUCGCUAUGGAGUCCUGGUGGAUGCUUGCCAUCAACCCCCAAUUUUUCUAUGGUUGACCUCGGAUCAGGUAGGGAUACCCGCUGAACUUAAGCAUAUCAAUAAGCGGAGGA